GGCUUCGUGGUCUAGGGGUAUGAUACUCGCUUAGGGUCACAACCUUGAGUACAAUAUGCGAGUGGUCCCGGGUUCAAAUCCCGGCGAAGCCC